rnacentral:rRNA from 1 species
UACAGAGGUCCCAAGCGUUGUUCGGAUUCAUUGGGCGUAAAGGGUGCGUAGGCGGCGCGGUAGGUCGGGUGUGAAAUCUCGGGGCUUAACUCCGAAACUGCAUUCGAUACUGCCGUGCUUGAGGACUGGAGAGGAGACUGGAAUUUACGGUGUAGCGGUGAAAUGCGUAGAUAUCGCUUGGAACGCCAAUGGUGAAAACAGCAGGCUGGGGGUGUGCUGACGCUGAGACGCGAAAGCCAGGGGAGCAAACGGG